rnacentral:rRNA from 1 species
GGAGGGCACGAGCGUUGUUCGGAAUUAUUGGGCGUAAAGCGCGUGUAGGCGGCUGGGUAAGUCGGAUGUGAAAGCCCGGGGCUCAACCCCGGAAUUGCAUUCGAAACUGCCCAGCUAGAGUCUCGGAGAGGAGGGCGGAAUUCCCGGUGUAGAGGUGAAAUUCGUAGAUAUCGGGAGGAACACCAGUGGCGAAGGCGGCCCUCUGGACGAUGACUGACGCUGAGACGCGAAAGCGUGGGGAGCAAACAGGAUUAGAUACCCUGGUAGUCCACGCCGUAAACGUUGGGUGCUAGGUGUCGCGGGUAUUGACCCCCCUGCGGUGCCGGCGUUAACGCAUUUAGCACCCCGCCUGGGGAGUACGGUCGCAAGCUA